AAUAGAUACCCAGGUAGUCCACGCCGUAAACGAUGAGUGCUAGGUGUUGGGGGUUUCAAUACCCUCAGUGCCGCAGCUAACGCAAUAAGCACUCCGCCUGGGGAGUACGGUCGCAAGACUGAAACUCAAAGGAAUUGACGGGGGCCCGCACAAGCGGUGGAGCAUGUGGUUUAAUUCGAAGCAACGCGAAGAACCUUACCAGGUCUUGACAUCCCGCUGACCGCUCUGGAGACAGAGCUUCCCUUCGGGGCAGCGGUGACAGGUGGUGCAUGGUUGUCGUCAGCUCGUGUCGUGAGAUGUUGGGUUAAGUCCCGCAACGAGCGCAACCCUUAUCUUUAGUUGCCAGCAUUCAGUUGGGCACUCUAGAGAGACUGCCGUCGACAAGACGGAGGAAGGCGGGGAUGACGUCAAAUCAUCAUGCCCCUUAUGACCUGGGCUACACACGUGCUACAAUGGUUGGUACAACGGGAUGCUACCUCGCGAGAGGACGCCAAUCUCUUAAAACCAAUCUCAGUUCGGAUUGUA
rnacentral:rRNA from 1 species